AUUUGGGCCAGGAUAAAAAUUACAUAUUCGGAAUCUGUGUUAUUGCGGAUGAAUAUCGUGCUAGCUUCGCAUAUGUUCGAUUUUGUUGUUCUCGGAGGAAGAGCGAAUCCUGUGGUGAAUCCUGUGGUAGCUUCACACUAGUCGUGAAAAUACUGACCAGCAGGGCCUGGAUGAUAACAAUGAAUUACUGAUACAACAACAAGAUAGCAGCAGUAACUCUGAUGAAUUUGAUGAUGGAAUCGUGCAGAACAGAAGGUGUUCUAGCAAUGAUGAUGAUACAGAUGAUUAUUCAGAUGAUCAAUCAGAUGGAGAGAAUGAUGGCCUGGAUAUUGAAGAUGGUAAUGAACCUGUUUACCAAGGAGCAAUAAUUACCAGAGCACAAAGUAUUUUGAUUUUGUUGUCAUUUCUUCUGCGCCAUGGCUUGACAGAUGUAGCUCUGACAGAUCUACUAGGAAUACUGAAUUUGCAUUUCCCAAGUAUUUUUCCAACUUCGAAGUACAAAUUUUACAAAACAUUUAACUCAACUGAAUCACAGUCAUGGGCAUCAAAAGAUUUAGAGCAGUUUCUAAGGAUGAUGAGAACCAUCAACUUCAGGCAUAACGUCGAACAGACAAGAUUUGUCAUCUUCCCGGGAGAGACUGCUAACAUGUCAGUUCUUGUGACAGUCCUAGAGUCCAUGGGCAUUGAAUGGGACAUUGCAUAUUAUCAUUGCAAUCCUGUAGUACUACAAGAGAGCUCUUCCUUGACAAAGUCAACACACCCUUUCAUUGUGACAAAAACAUGUCAACCAAUCAAAGGAGAUGACCUAUUCACGCAAUCUGCAGAUGAGUUCUUCGCAGAAAAAGA